AAAGAUGGGGAAAGUCUGGUUUGAAGUUUCAAGACCAACACUUUAAUGAUGGAAAAAGUUAAGGGGUUAGAAAUUUGGUGUCCUGUCGCAUUUAAAAGAUCCUCGACACUCAGCAGUUAUUUAGGAUGGUUCAGGAAGAUCUCAGGCCGACCAGGCUGGCAGGGAGAACUCCAGAUGACGGGCUUCUGAGCACAGAAAAAGUCGAAAUCACAAGCAGGCUGAUGGAAUCCUCCCUCUGCAGUAGCCUGCUUGGGCUGGCUCAGUUAUCCAUGGUGGCAGGAGCCAAGGGAGAAGAGAUCCAAAGUGAAGAAGCUACUACCGGUGAGACUUAGUAGAUAGAGGCAGGCCCUGCUCUUUGGGGCCCAGCACAGAGAUGAGGGCCUCAUGAGAUGCCAGCUCUUCUACAAAGUCGGUCUCACCGUCUUCAGGAAAAGCCAAUACAUCCCUACUUAGAGCUGUUCUGAGUGAUUCUUCUGGCUUCUCCCACACUAAUCAGCUUAUAUGUUAAUUCAGUGUUUCUGUGGUUGGGUCCCUUAUAAAGCUGUGUUUCCUGAGGGCAAGGACCAAGUAUGCUCAUCUUUCUGUGUCCAGAGUGUUAUAUAACAGUAAAAGUCCACAUUUAUUGUUUCUUGAACUCGUGUUAGUUAAUUUUCAUCUGUCAUUAUAACUGUGGAGGUUUGAAUGAAAAUGACCCCCAUAGACUCAGAGAGAGUGGCAAUAUCGGGGGUGUGGCCUUGUUGGAGUGGGUGUGGUCUUUUGGAGUAGGUGUGGUCUUGUUGGAGUAGGUGUGGUCUUGUUGGAGGUAGUAUGUCACGAGGGAUGG
rnacentral:lncRNA from 1 species